AUGUACAUACCUACAACAUAGUGUUAAUGCAUCGGAUCCCAUUAGAACUCCGAAGUUGAGUGCGAUCGAGAUAGAGAAGUAUUGGGAUGGGUGACCCCUCGGGAAGUACUAGUAUUUUACAUG
rnacentral:rRNA from 1 species